UUAAUAUGAAUUUAUUCAUCGUUUGUUUUCUUACAAAUUCAGUACAUAAUUUUGCAUAAUUUUUUCGUAUUUUUUGAAACAGUAUGUUUAGGUAUUUUUGAAGACUGAACAAUCUUACACCUUUCAAAGAUAUUUGGAUGUUCUGAGGUACAUAUUUCGGGAAGAAACGUAAAUCCUUCACCAGCUGUCCGGAUUGAAUUUGCUAGACCACAUGUUCAGAUAUUCUCUUGUGAAACGUAACACACCCGACCCUUUUUGUGUAAACUGGGUCAUUUGACGAUUAGACAACGCCCGACAUCACGUCUUAUCGCGGACGCGGCAAAAGUUGGUGGAGUUUACCUGGGAUGUCCGGCAUCGUCUUUUUCACCUGAUCCUGGGCCGGCAUAUUUUUCUUUAUUCUGGGCGCUAUCAAAUUCGCUUCAUGGGAAACACUUCGCUCGUUGACCGUCAAAAACAUAUUCGGCAGUUUUUCGUGAUAGAGUAUGAUAAGUUUAAGAAAGAAGUAAUGCUGAAAUUCCUCUGACGAUGGAAAAAGGUAGUGCAGAAAAUGGCACAUAUGUAUCUUCAAGUCACUCUUUUAUUGAUUGUGGUCGCAACAAUGAUUUCGACCGUGUCGUCCCACGAUAUGUUUGCUUCGGGCCUCAACCUGACGGUUGGGAGUAUCAAUUACAUGUCCCAUAUGGGAUUCAAAAUAGUCGGCCGAUUAAAAAUUUGAAAAAGCAACGCACAGCAAUACUGGAAAAAUGUUUUUAUUGAAUAAAUAAAGACGGAUAAUUAAAUGUAAUAGGAUAGAAGGGUUUUGUUUUAAAGACAAUACUGUACUUUCUGUUGAUAUAGUUGUUUUGGACUAUGUUCAAUUGUGUUGUACAAUAUAAAAAUUGACUUACAUUUUUA